GCUUCCCUCUUUCUUCGUGCCUAAUACAUGCAAGUCGAGCGAACGGACGAGAAGCUUGCUUUUCUGAUGUUAGCGGCGGACGGGUGAGUAACACGUGGAUAACCUACCUAUAAGACUGGGAUAACUUCGGGAAACCGGAGCUAAUACCGGAUAAUAUUUUGAACCGCAUGGUUCAAAAGUGAAAGACGGUCUUGCUGUCACUUAUAGAUGGAUCCGCGCUGCAUUAGCUAGUUGGUAAGGUAACGGCUUACCAAGGCAACGAUGCAUAGCCGACCUGAGAGGGUGAUCGGCCACACUGGAACUGAGACACGGUCCAGACUCCUACGGGAGGCAGCAGUAGGGAAUCUUCCGCAAUGGGCGAAAGCCUGACGGAGCAACGCCGCGUGAGUGAUGAAGGUCUUCGGAUCGUAAAACUCUGUUAUUAGGGAAGAACAUAUGUGUAAGUAACUGUGCACAUCUUGACGGUACCUAAUCAGAAAGCCACGGCUAACUACGUG
rnacentral:rRNA from 1 species